UAUGGAUUUUAACAGUUUUAAGGUGCUGGAAAAAAAAGUUCUUGAAUUUGACUUUGAACAAGCUACCGGUGGAUACGUUUUGAGGUAUGUCGCCCUGGUGACGGCCAGGUCCCUCACAGCCUAUCAGAGGACGAUGCCUCAGUCAACUUUGAGGCCUACCAGAGACACCAGGGCUUCGAGGAGAACAUCAAGACGGAGCAUAUAACAGGUCAGACACCGCAGUCCCCUGGCUCUUCUCAUCAGCUCCACCUGACCUCCCCGACCAUGAAGCCCUCUACCUCAUAUUUCAGCUCCUGAUUCUGGAAGUGUUAAGUCGUACAUUAACACAAUUCUCCUGAACUUGGUGUUUUUCCACCUUUUCCUUUUUGGUUCAAUAACUCAGAUAACAGAGUCUCGAACAGCAUUACCUGGGGAUAGUUGAUGCUUAUAUACUGGAAAGUUUGUACAUAACAUACCAAUAGCAACAUGAACACAACAGCUCUAUAUUAUAUCUGCUGAAUUUUAGAAAUUUAGUCCAACUCUUUUUUUUGCUAAUUGAAAAUUGCACAAAAAAUGUAAAAAAAAAAAAAAAAAAGUUAUGUUUUCCCAUGGCCAGGUUUUGGUUCGUGGCACACUGUUGCAUUGGGAUUUAACUAUUGUUGCCCUUUUUUCAACUUGAAACAAUUUCAUUACAUGUCCAACUGUUGCAGUAAUGCCGUAAAAGCAUUGGCUCUGAAUGUAACAGGCCCACACAAAAUUAGUUGCUCAUCUGUGAUUUAUUCGUGAAAAUUGUGCAAAGUUCAUAUAGACACAUUUGUGUUGUAAACUUAAUAAUUCUGAGUUUUGUUCAAACUCGAUCGUCAUGUCUUUCUACAACAAGUCCAGCAAUCAUUGGCAGUAGUUAUAACAGCAUACAUUGUAAACAGAAAUAUAAAAAAUCAUAUACACCCAUUCGCCACAAAGAUAUCAACACUCCAAUAGGCACUUUCCAACCUAAAACACUUAAUGGCAGUUUUAGCCUAGUGGCAUUAUACUGCAUUCUGAUGAGCUAAGAUACAAACAUUUUGGAUGCUGCAUGAAAAUGGUCUACUCUGGUAAAAUGGACGUAAAAUAAAUGCAAAGAAAAUCUUUCAGUAUGCAAAUGAUGUUGAUUGUAGACAAAUUUUUGCUCAGCAAUUUGUGGGAUCUGGCACUGCCCCACUCUGAGAGGAUUUACAUAUGAGUAAAAAAAAUUGAUUGUCAAGAGUUAAACGAACAAAACUAACUGAUAAUCACGUAUAAGAAAAAUCCCUUCAUCGAAAA